GGUGAACGCUGGCGGCGUGCUUAACACAUGCAAGUCGAACGGGAAACCUUUUAUUGCAGCUUCGGCAGAUUUAGCUGGUUUCUAGUGGCGGACGGGUGAGUAACGCGUGGGUAACCUGCCUUAUACAGGGGGAUAACAGUCAGAAAUGGCUGCUAAUACCGCAUAAGCGCACAGAGCUGCAUGGCUCAGUGUGAAAAACUCCGGUGGUAUAAGAUGGACCCGCGUUGGAUUAGCUGGUUGGUGGGGUAACGGCCCACCAAGGCGACGAUCCAUAGCCGGCCUGAGAGGGUGAACGGCCACAUUGGGACUGAGACACGGCCCAGACUCCUACGGGAGGCAGCAGUGGGGAAUAUUGCACAAUGGGGGAAACCCUGAUGCAGCGACGCCGCGUGAAGGAAGAAGUAUCUCGGUAUGUAAACUUCUAUCAGCAGGGAAGAUAAUGACGGUACCUGACUAAGAAGCCCCGGCUAACUACGUG
rnacentral:rRNA from 1 species